rnacentral:rRNA from 1 species
UACGAAGGGGGCGAGCGUUGUUCGGAUUUACUGGGCGUAAAGGGCGCGCAGGCGGUUCUGUUUGUCGAGUGUGAAAGCCCCGGGCUCAACCUGGGAACUGCGCUCGAAACGGCGGAACUAGAGUUCGGGAGAGGAGAGUGGAAUUCCCAGUGUAGAGGUGGAAAUUCGUAGAUAUUGGGAAGAACACCGGUGGCGAAGGCGGCUCUCUGGGACCGAUACUGACGCUGAGGCGCGAAAGCGUGGG